rnacentral:rRNA from 1 species
UACGUAGGGUGCAAGCGUUGCCCGGAUUUAUUGGGCGUAAAGGGUGCGUAGGCGGCGCGGUAAGUCGGGUGUGAAAUCUCGGAGCUUAACUCCGAAACUGCAUUCGAUACUGCCGUGCUUGAGGACUGGAGAGGAGACUGGAAUUUACGGUGUAGCGGUGAAAUGCGUAGAUAUCGUAAGGAAGACCAGUGGCGAAGGCGGGUCUCUGGACAGUUCCUGACGCUGAGGCACGAAGGUCAGGGGAGCAAACGGG